rnacentral:ncRNA from 1 species
UUGGUUUUUAGAAUUAAAAAGGAAUCCGAUGAGACUUCGGAGCUGUAUCUGCAGCUGUAAAAGCUUUAAAAACAACGAAUAAACCACUGUGUUUUCAUGGGAAGGUCGUUGAAAUUAGCUUGAGCCAGAAUACUUGCCAAAAAUC